AUUCUUUGAUGGAUGUCUUCCCUCAAGUGUGCACAGCUGGCUGAGUCCCUCUCUUGCCUAAUUAAGGGGCUUUAUUCUGCUCACGCUCAGAGCUGCUGCCUGCAUGCUUGUCUGGAAGCCGACAUCAAGCCCAUUUGGCCAGAAAUACCUCUAGAGGUGGAACUGGCCCAGAAGACUGGACCCCCAGAGUGCUAUGGAAUGUCUAUGGGAACAAAGGAGGACCUAAUGGACAGCAGAGAAACACGAUGCCCAGCUCUGGUCUGGUAGGAGGUCCCUAGAAGAAUGGCUUCAAGUGAGACUUAGAAAUACACCCAGUCGGUUAGCCUUUGGGAAGCGUAAUGAGUACUACCUCCAGUAGUUUUUGAAGAUGAGGAAACAGAAGCUGGGAUAUGUGAGUAAACAUUUCCAAGGUCCUGCAGCUAAUCAAUGGUUGACAACUUCUUUCCUCUGCCUAUGUUGCCAUCCAUGUCAUGGUUUGUGUCAAGACUCUAGGAGAAGUCUACCAUCAGCACCACAGCUACUGUGCACAAAUCCAGAAUGCCAGACUGAAGUCAGAAGGAAAGAGAACUUUUCCAACCAGCAGUGGGGCCCUUAGCAGGGGAGACUGGAAACAGAUCCUUUAUAUAUUGAAAGAAGAAAGUAGAACCAUUUCUGGGUCCCAGCUGUGGGAAGAGCUCCUGUGGCUGUGAAUUCUGACUUCUGGGUCUUGGCACAAGGUGUGGCCAGCAAGCUAAGCUGUCCUGAGGGUGUGCAGGGCCAGGGGCUGAAGACAGUGUUGGAGCAUCCACAGACUGGUUUGUCUCAAGAAGCAUGUUACUAAAUAUGAAAUAGCAAAAUCUGCAAGUGGGUUUACUUUUCCCCCAUAGAUUAGAAUGGAUUCAAUAUUAUCUCUUUAUUAGCGUCACUUUUAAUCACUUGUAUAACAAGUAGGACAGAAAGGUGGCUUGAAAGUCAAUCAUGUGAGAAUUCCAGAUAAAUUGACUUUGCUCACAACAAUCUGUUAUUCAUGUGACUAUCAACUGUCAUGUGUGCUGGGGCAAAAAAAGAAGAUAAGGAUUCACUGGUAUCAGAUAGUUCCAGGAGGGGAAACCCAGGAUUGAACUUUUUCAGCCUUCUAUGGUAAAAUUUCCUGCUCUGUCGGUGCGCCAAAGCUUUUUUCAGUUUCCUAAACUCCCAUAUUCAAGAAGAUAAGCUAUUUUCUCUUCUUUCUCAUCCUUCCUUGACAAAGCAAAGCAUAUUUUCAUUGUCUACUCUGUGUCAUCCAUGCUUGGUUCCUGUCCUCAAAGAGCUUAUAGUUCAAAUAAAGGAGAGGGAGCAUUUUACAAGGGAAUUAAAGGUAAAAGAUUCUGAAAGCCAGUUUAAAAAGUCGUGAGGGAGGGGUCUGGGAGAAGCUGAGCAGGGGUGAAAGGGUACGAAACAUUAUGGAAGGAGAACAGGGGAGCACCCUGACUACUGGGUGGAAACACCAAUCAGUGGGUAGAAACCACACAGUGGUAACACUGAUCAGUGGGUAGAAAACAAUGACAGCAGGUAUAUGAGGCAUGGAACACUUGGCUUAUUGUAAAGUUUUCAAAAUAUGCAGUCCUUUCUAUCCACCAGGGGUUGGGAGUUGUCUUUGUAUAUCAACCGUGGAAGGGCUGUUUUGGUUCAUCAUUCUGUGGUCUACCUGGGUAGACCUGAUGCAGCCGUGUUUCUGAGGAAAGGAAGAACAGCUUUUGUUUUGUGAUAUGUAAUGGUAGAUGUAGUGCCAUGGAAUGAUGCAGAUUUCAUUCAGAUAUUCUUGGAUCUUGGCCCCAGGACUCACUCAUUCUUCCCUAUAUGAGCAUUGGUAGUUACAGGUUUUAUCCUUCCUUUAAUUGUAAGUCUUUUGAAGCCAAAAACUGUAUCCAAUUUGUCACUGUCUCCUAACAGUACUUAGCAGUGUCUGAUGCAUCAUAGGGAGUUUGUAAAUGUUUGGAUAAAUAAAGGGAAAACAAAAACAACCACAAAAAAACCUUUAUUUUGCUUUAAUAAAAAUAUUUUAACUAGUU
rnacentral:lncRNA from 1 species